UAGGUGGUUGGAACCUUCAUCCCCAUUCCACACUCACCUCAGGGAGAGAAGAAUGGCUAGAGAUUGAUUGAACCACCAAUGGCCAAUGGUGUAAUUGAUCAUGCCUACUUAAUGAAGCCUCCAUAUAAACCCCAAAGGAUGAGCUUUAAGAGUUUCCAGGUUGGUGAAAACAUGGAGGUCAUGAAAGGAUGGUGCACCUGAGAAAGCAUGAAAGUUCUCUUCAAGAUACCUAUGCAUCUCUCCUGGCUGGCUGUUCCUCAGUUGUACCCUUUUAUAGUAAACUGGUAAUCUAGUGAAUAAAUUGUUUUCCAGACCUCUGGGAGCCAUACUUGCAAAUUAUUGUGCCUGGGGAGGGGUUUAUGAGAACCUCCAAUUUAUAGGGGCCCCAGUCAAUCAGAAGCACAGGUGACAACUUAGACUUGUGACUGACAUUGGAAAUAGAAGCCAGUCUUCUAAGACUGAGUUCUUAACCUGCCUGUGGGGUCUGUGCUAACUCUGGUUAGUUUUAGAAUUUAAUUAAACCAUAGGACACCCAGUUGGUGUUUGCCAGAGGAUUAAGUUGAAUUUUUUAGAAAAAGCUCACACAUUUGGUAUCAGAAGUGAAGUAGUGAGAGUAAUAGUUGAUCAGAGAAGAAAUAAGAAAUUUUCCUUUCAGAUACCAAAGCAAACAAGAAGGCCAGGAUAAUGUGCUGAAAUGCUGAUUUGUAUUCUGUUUUCCAUGUAUUUUUUCCUUUCCUUUUUCACAUUAAUUUGUUUACCUUUGCCUCAGGCUGGUCUGUGUAGUGAGGCCUGAAGCAGAAAUUAUCUGGGAAAACCAAAACAAAAUAAGCAAAGUAUAUCAAACAAAUGAAAAUGUAUCUUGUUAGUUUGUUAAGAACAUGCUUGAUUGAGAAAAUUAUGUUCAAGGACCCCAUAGAAGAAGGGAAGACAGGCAAGUGCUUAUGAAGGGUGCAUUGGGAAGUGAAAUAAAUAAAGAGGUAGUGGGAACUGUGUCAUGAUAUAUGUAGCUACUAAAAUUAAUGGAAGUGGAAAAUUAGGAAUCCGCAUUAACAUGAGCCAGAGGGGUAAAGUUAAAGCGAGAAGCCCAUGCAUUAAGAAUGUAAUUUAUGAACAAAGAAAAAGUAUUGGCAUGCACAUAAUUUGACACACAAUUGAAAUUUUAAAACCCAAACCAAACGAACCUCACUUCUUUUAAGCCAAAAGCAUACCAUAAAUUAUUAUAAAUUGUAAAUUUACUUAAGCAAAUUCAAUGCCUUUUUUUUUUGAGACGGAGUCUCACUCUGUCACCCAGGCUGGAGUGCACUGGCGUGAUCUCGGCUCACGGCAACCCCUAUCUCCUGCGUUCAAGCGAUUCUCCUGCCUCAGCCCCCUGAGUAGCUCCUCAGUACAGGCGGGUGCCUCCAUGCCCGGCUAAUUUGUUGUAUUUUUAGUAGAGACAGGGUUUUGCCAUGUUGGCAAGGCUGGUCUUAAACUCCUGACCUUAGGUGAUCCACCCACCUCGGCCUCCCAAAGUGCUGGAAUUACAGGCGUGAGCCACUGCACCUGGCCUCAAUGUCGUCGUCUUCUCCUUUUCCUUCUCCUUCUUCUUCAUUUUUUCUUUUUUUUUUUCUUUUUUCUAGAUACAGAGUCUCGCUCGAUCACCCAGGCUGGAGUGGAGUGGCGCCAUCUUGGCUCACUGCAAGCUCCGCCUCCCGCGUUCUCGCCAUUUUCCUGCCUCAGUCUCCGGAGUAGCUGGGACUACAGGCGCCCGCCACCACGCCUGGCUAAUUUUUUUGUUUUUUUAGUAGAAACGGGGUUUCACCGUGUUAGCCAGAAUGGUCUCGAUCUCCUGACCUCGUGAUCCACCUCAGCUUCCCAAAGUGCUGGGAUUACAGGCAUGAGCCACCGAAACCGGAUGAUGCCUCCUUCUUAAUUUCCAGUCUUGUUGGCUAAUAUCAGAUUUGCUGUCUGGAGAGAUAUAUGAAAUUUAAAGAUGGCAAUCCAUUCCCUUCCCAUCAUGCUUCUUUUUCUACAGACCCGGAGUUUCUGUCCAUGUCCAAUGCAUUCAAGAUUCUUCUGCAAAUCUGAACAGUCAAAGCCUGAAGUACAUGGAGGAAAGAAGAAAUCCAUUUGAAUGGAAGAAGCAUUCCAAGUGACAGAAUGUAUCAGAACAUUUAAAGACGAAAGAAGGACAUCAUUUUGAAUCAUGAGGCCUACUGGAAAAAUAAACAACAAAAAACAAGCAAGCAAAAUACAGUGGAGAGAGCUGAUAGAGCAGUAGAAAGUCUCCUGGAAUAUCCCCACAGGCUGCUGGUGUCUGGUAGGGAGGAGAGAGUGAGGGAGCCACUUUGGACAUCCGAAUCACUUUUAGCAUACUUUACUUUUCCUAGGUGCAAAAGCAGAGAGGCAAGGAGACUAUCAGUCUUACAAUGUUGAUGGUUAAUAGGAGCCUGGUGAUGGUAGUCUGACCAGGGGAGAGAAUUAGAGUGGUGUCCCCAUCACCCACUUGUUUGUUGGCACCUUGUAGUCCUACACUUGUGAACUUCUAGUUCCUAUGGCUGAAGGAAAAACUGAUCUAACAAAGAGGAGUAAUGCUUUAAGUCUUAUCAGAAAUAUAAGCCCUAGCGUGAAGGAGUGUUUCUAGUGCCUUCUUGAAAAAAAGUUUUUUUUUUUUUUUGAGACAGAGUCUCUCUCUGUCACCCAGGCUGGAGUACAGUGGCGCUAUCUCAGCUAACUGCACCCUCCACCUCCCCAGUUCAAGCGACUCUCUUGCCUCAGCCUCCUAAGUAGCUGGGACUACAGGCACCCGCCACCACGCCUGGCGAAUUUUUGUAUUUUUAGUAGAGACAGGGUUUCACCAUAUUGGCCAGGCUGGUCUCUAACUCCUGACCUUGUGAUCUGCCCACUUUGGCCUCCCAAAGUGCUGGAAUUACCGAUGUGAGCCACUGCGCCUGACCAAAAAAAAAAAAAAAAAAAAAAAAAUGCUUUUAAUAGACUGAGGAUGGAGAAAAUAAGAGCAAAGUACAAUAAUGAGUGUCUGGAGAGGUUGGAGUAGGAGACCAGGCAGAGUAGCUUGGGAAAAAGGCAGGGAAAGGUGCAAAUUGGAUGCCAAGAUAAGCUUGGCUUAUUUCUAAUUUUGCCUAAAGUGACAUAAUAUAACUAUGUCCCCAAGCACAUGUAACAUCUGAUCACAUUGAGAUGAGAAAUUGCCUGAGAAAUACAGAUGGAAUUUAUGCAGUAAGCAAAGUUGGAAAAGCAUUUAUAUCAUUCUACAGUUGCUUAGUCUCUCUAGCCUAGGAAACCAUGGGAUACUUAAUUCAGCCAUCUCUAUCUAGGCCCUGUUAUUAAUUGUGUAUUGCAUGGUGUGCUUGCAGGAUCACAACUGCAUCACAAAAAUAAUCUGACCCUGGCUGUGAGAUUUGGAGAUGACAACACAAUUGUAAAUUUAUAAAAUUUACUGCACCUACUCAGGGGGACAUAAGGCAACUGUGUUAAUUCAUUUCCCAUUCCAGAGGAAAGGAAGGACUAUGAAAAAUAUCAUCCAAAUCAAUAGAACACAGUGAUUAGGCUAUCUAUUGUUUCAAUAGUUUCAUCAAUUGCUGACUGAAUCUUCUAGUCUGCAGUUUAAAAUCUAGUUAGUACUUUGUCCAAUAUGCUAUAAUACAUACUAGCAGUCUGUAGAGGGUCUCUAUAAUGAAUUACUGCUACAUUCACUGUCCCACCAAUUUUCUAAUAAUUCUGUCAAAUCACCUUCUGGAUUCCAAUUUUCUAUUUUUUUUCAAUGAGUUACAUGACUAUAAUCCAACAUUUUUGUAAUUUCAACAAAAAACAUUUGAACAUGCAGUAAAUCACUGGAGGUUACCAGGGAAGAAAGGACCUGCAGCCUUGAACAAAGACGGAUUUAGAAAUAUGUUCAGCAAUACCAGUGAAUAGUACAGGAGAAUCUAGGAUAAAGGAAACAGACUGGAAAAUAAACCAUCCUAGAAAGAAAAGUUCAGAGAAUGAGAACCCCUGGACUGUCUCAAAAAAAAGAAAAAAGAAAAAAACAGAAACGCGACAUGCUCUAAAAAGGAAUAUUUAACCUGGAUUAAUUCAUAAAAUAAUAGGAGAAAAUUUUUGCAGCCAGAAUACUAUGAAUUUGAGUUGGUUGAAGAACAACCUCAUCUUUUAAAGCAGAGAAGUUUUCUCAGAUAUGUUUUCCAGAAUGCCAAAUCGUAAGUAAAUUGAUGAGAAAACUGUGGCUCAAAAGUUAUGUUACUUGUUAGACAUCACCAGACAUUUAAGUGCCUCACCCCAUAAACAGAAAGAAGAUGAGACUACAGAAUAUUAGGAAAUACAUUGCCAUGAACAAGUAGGAUUUGAAAGCAGUCUGCUGUCUUAUGCACUGAAGCUGAGGACCCACACUUUAACAGAAUCUAAAUGCCAGAAGAAACAUGGACUCAGAUGAAAUUGUACAACAUGUGGUCUUUUUCUUCUGAGCCCCAAAAUGUAAAGAACUUUCCGGAAGAAGAAGAAAUGGGGCAGAAGAAGAAGUCAGAGAGAUUUGAGCACCAGAAGGACUUGACAUGCUAUUGCUGGUUUGAAGAUGAAGAGGGCAAUAUAACAGCAAUGCAGCUCUGGCAUUAAGUGCUGAGAGAGGCUCCCUGCUGACAGACAGCAAGGAAAUAAAGACCACAGUCCCACUGCCACAAGAAACUGAUUUCUGCAAACAACAUGGAACAGCUUAGAUGAAAUUUCUCCCCAGAUAAUAACCCAGGUGAGCCAAUACAUUAAUUUUGGCCAUGUAAAACCUACAGAAGAGGAACCAGUGAAAUUUACUCUGAUUUCUGUCCUACAGAACUUAAUGUGAAUGGCUUUAAGCCACUACAUUUAUAGUAUUUUGUUACAGCAGUGACAGAAAACUAGUGUAACAUAUAAACACAAAGAAGGGAAAUAAUGAUAUCUGUAUAAAUAAUUAAAAUAUAAAAAUUGACCAAGAUGGCCAACUAGACACAGCCAGGAAGAGCAUCUACCACUGUGAGAAAAUACCUUCAAUAAACCAGCACACUCUGUGCAGAUCUUUGGAGGGAAGGCAUUGAGAGCAGACAGAGGGAGGAUGCAGACCCUAGGCUGAAGGGGGAGAAAAGCUGGGAACCCUGCAUAGGGUUGCCAAGCACCAGGACUCAUUCCCGGCCCCCAGUGGCUCCUAGGGAAGGGUUGAGUUAAAUAGUCAAGGAAUGGCCCACUGUUACCACAGAGCUCCAGAAUUCUAGCUGCAAGAGACCCCUCAAUCCUCAUGGACAUUUGAGCUGGCAGGGAAAGAUGCUUAGAGAGGUGGCAGAGACAGAACUCAGGCUGUGUGAAUUUGGACAGAGCAGAGCUUUCUUGCCUGUGAGAUUGUGCCAGUCUGUUCUGAGUGACCCCAGUCUGUAUGCCUCUCCCUAGUUCCUAGCUGGGUGUGCUCACUUGCAGCUCAGCCUCAGAUGCCCAGUUAGGGUGCUUUCCAGCUGCUACUACCAUAGCUCAUUCACUGACUGAUCCCCAACUAACUGCUGGAAAGGUUCAUGCCCCCCUAGCAUGAACUUGACCCAAGACAUAGUCAUCAGAUUCUCCAAGGUCAACACAAAAGAAAAACUAUUAAAGGAUGCUAGAGAGAAGGGGCAGGUUAUCUACAAACCUUAUUAGGCUAACAGAAGACCUUUUAGCAUAAACCCUGCAAGUCAGAAGAGAUUGAGGAUCUACAUUCAGCAUUCUUAAAGAAAAUAAAUUCCAACUAUGAAUUUCAUUUCCAGCUAAGCUAAGCUUCAGAAGCAAAAUAUAAAUAAAAUUCUUUUCAGUGCAGGAAAUGCUAGGGGAAUUUGUUACCAAUAGACCUACCUUACAAAAGGUGAUUCAGGAAGUGCUAAACAUGGAAAUGAAAGGCCAUUAUCGGCCAUCACAAAAACACACUUAAGUACACAGACCAUUGACACUACAAAGCAACUACACAAUCAGGUCUACAUAAUAAUCAGCUAACAACACAAUGACAGGAUCAAAUUUUCACAUAUCAAUAUUAACCUUGAAAAUAAAGGUGCUAACUGCCCCUAAUUAAAAGACACAAGGUAGCAAGCUGGAUAAAGAAGCAAAUCCAACUGUGUGCUGUCUUCAAGAGACCUAUUUCACAUGCAAUGAUGUCUACAGGCUCAAAGUAAAGGGAUGGAGAAAAAUCUACCAAACACACAGAAAACAAAAACAAACAAAAAAAGAAGGGAAUGCCAUUGUUAUUAAAGACAAAACAGACUUUAAACCAACAAUGAUCCAAAAAUACAAAAAAGAACAUUAUAUAAUGAUAAAGGUUAAAUUCAACAAGAAGACUUAACUAUCCUAAAUAUAUUUGCAGUCAACAUUGAAGCACCAAGAUUCAUUAAAAGCAUUUUAGAGACUUAAGAAGAAGCUUAGCUAAUUACACAAUAAUAGUUGGACACUUCAACACCCCACUGACAGUAUUAGACAAAUCAAAAAGGAAGAAUAAUAACAAAGACAUUCAGGAUGUAAAGUUAACAGUUGACCAAAUGGACCUAACAGACAGCUACAGCUAUAGAACCUAACAGACAGCUACAAGAAAGAUAAAAUAUACAUUCUUCUGACCUGCAGAUGGCAAAUAUUAUAAAUCAAACACAUACUCAGACAUAAAGCAAUUGUUAACAAAAUUAAAAAAAAAAAACAAAUCAUACCAAAUACAUGCUUGGACCACAGUGCAGUAAAAAUAAAAAUCUGUACUAGAAGAUCUCUCAAAAACAUAAAAUUACAUGGAAAGUAAGCAACCUGUUUCUGCAUUACUUUUGAGUAAACAAUAAAAUUAAGGCUGAAAUCAAAACAUUAUUUGAAACUAAUAAGAAGAAAGAUAGAACCUACCAGAAUCUCUCGUACACAACUAAAGUGGUGCUAAAAGUGAAGUUUUUUGGUGCUAAUUGCCUGUAUCAAAAAGUUAGAAAGCUCUCAACAACCUAGCACCAUACCUAGAGGAGCCAGAAAACCAAGAGCAAAUCAGUCCUACAGCUGGCAGAAGAAAAGAAAUAACCAAAAUCAGAGCUGAACUGAACAAAAUUCAGAUACAAAAAAUCAUACAAAAGAUCAACAAAAUCAAAAGUUAGUUUUUUAAGAUCGACAGACCACUAGCUAGAUUAAUUAAAAAAAAAGAGAGAGAAGAUCCAAAUGAAUACAAUCAGAAGUGACGAACGAGACAUGAUCACUACCCCCACAGAAAUACAAAAAUCCCUUAGACACUAUUACAAAUAUUCCCAUGCACACAAACAAUAAUCCUAAAAGAAAUGGACAAACCCCUAGAAACAUACAACCUCCCAAGUUUGACCCGGAAAACAAUUGAAAUCCUAAAAAGACAAAUAAUGAGUUCCCAAAUUGCAUCAGCAAUUAAAAAAAAAAAAAAACUUACCAACAAGAAAACACUAGACCAGAUAGAUUCAUAGCAGGUUCAAGUUCUACCAGAUAUGUAGAGGAGAGAUGAGACCAAUCCUAUUGAAAAUAUUACAAAAAAUUGAGGAGGAGGGAUUCUUCCUCAUUUUAUGAGGCCAGCAUCAUCGUAAUACCAAAACCUGGCAGAGACACAACUAAAAAAGAAAAUUUCAAGCAAAUAUUCCUGAUGCAUGCAAACGUUGUCAACAAAAUACUAGCAAAUUGAAUCCAGUUCCACACCAAAAAGCUAAUCCACCAUGAUCAAAUAGGCUUUACUCCUGGGAUGGAAGCAUCCUUUGUGUUCAACAUAUGCAAAUUAAUAAACGUGAUUCAUUACAUAAAUAAAACUAAAAGCAAAAACCACAUGAUAUCUCAAUAGAAGCAGAAAAGGCUUUGAUAAAAGUCCAUACCCCUUCUUGUUAAAAAAAAAAAAAGCCCUCAACAAACUAGGCAUUGAAGGAAUAUACCUCAAAAUAAUAGGAGCCAUCUAUAACAAAUUCAUAGCAAACAUCAUAUGGAACAGGCAAAAGCUGGCAGCAUUCCCCUUGAGAAACAGAACAACACAAGGUAGCCCACUUUCCCCACUCCUAUUUAACACAGUAUUGGAAAUCCCAACCAGAGAAAUCAGACAAGAUAAAAGAAAUAAAAGGCAUCCAAAUAGGAAGAGAGGAAGUCAAACUCUCUCUCUUUCAAGAUGAUAUGAUUUCAUACCUAGAAAACCCCAUACUCUCGGCCCAAAGCCUCAUAGAUAUGAUAAAUAACUGCAGUGAAGUUUCAAGGUACAAAAUCAGUUUUCAAAAAUCAGUAGCAUUUCUACACACCAAUAACAUCCAAGCUGAGAGCCAUAUCAAGAAUGCAAUCCCAUUCAUAAGAGCCACAAAAAUAACAAAAUAACUAGAAAUACAGCUAACCAGAGAGGUAAAAAAUCUCUACAAGAAUAAUUACAAAACAGUGCUGAAAGCAGGCAGAGACAACACCAUCAAAUAGAAAACAUUCCAUGCUCGUGGAUGAGAAUAAUCAAUAUUGUUAAAAUGGCAAUAAUCCCCAAAGAGAUCCUAUCAAACUACCAAAUACAUUUUUCACAAAACUAGAAAAAAACUAUCUUAAAAUUCAUUUGAAACCAAAAAAGCCCAAAUAGCCAAAGAAUUCCUAAGUAAAAAGAACAAAGCUGGAGGCAUCACAGUACCCAAAUUCAAACUACACAAGGCUACCGUAACAAAGACAGCAUGGUACUGGUGCAAAACAGACACACAGACCAAUGUAACAGGUUAGAGAGCCCAGAAAAAAAGCUGCCCACCUACAUCCAUCUGAUCUUCAAUGGCGAGUGAGCAUUACUGCCUGAGCUCCACCUCAUGUAAGAUCAGUGGCAGCAUUAGAUUCUCAUUGGAGCUCGGACCCUAUUGUGAACUGUACAUGCAUGGUAUCUAAAUUGUGUGCUCCUUAUGAGACUCUAAUUCCUAAUGAUCUGAGGUGGAACAGUUUUAUCCUGAAACCAACCCUACCCCCUAUAAACCAUGGAAAAAUUGUCUUCCAUGAAAGCAGCCCCUGGUGCCAAAUAAGUUGAGGACCACCAACCUACAGAAUGAGAGAAUAUAUUUGCAAACUAUGCAUCAGACAAAGUUCUAAUAUUCAGAAUUUAUAAGGAAUUUAAACAACAUAGCAAGCAAAAACCAAAAAAUCCCAUUUAAAAAAUGGGCGAAGACAUGAAGUGUUACUUCAAAGGAAGACAUGCAUGUGGCCAACAAUCAUAUGAAAAAAUGCUCAACAUCAUUCAUCAUUAAAGGAAUGCAAAUAAAAACCACACCACACCAGUCAGAAUGGCUAUUACUAAAAAUAAAAAUAACAGAAGGUGGCAAGGUUGCAGAAAAAAGGGGACAUGUCUAUGCUGCUAGUCGAAAUGUAAAUUAGUUCAGCCCCUGUGGAAAGCAUUGUGGCAGUUUCUCAAAGAACUUAAAGCAGAACUACCAUCCAACUAAGCAAUCCUAUUAUUGGGUAUAUACCUCCCAAGACAUAAAUUAUUUUACCAUUAAUUUGCUUAGGAUAAUGGCCUCCUAAGACACAUGCAUGUGUAUGUUCAUCAUAGCACUACUCACAAUAGCAAAGACAUAGAAUCAACUUAGACGCCCAUCAAUUGUGAAGUGGAUUAAAAAAAUGUGGUACAUAUACACCAUGGAAUACUAACCAACAAUAAAAAAGAACAAAAUCAUCUCCUUUGCAGCAUCAUGGAUGGAACUGGAGGCCAUUAACCUAAGCAAAUUAAUGCAAGAACCAAAAACCAAAUACUGCAUGUUCUUACUUAUAAGUGGGAGCUAAACACUGAGUACACAUGGACAUGAGGAAGGGAACAAUAGACAUCAGGGCCUACUUGAAGGUGGAGGAUGGUAGGAGGGUAAGGAUCUAAAAACUACAAAUUGAGUACUAUACUCAUUACCUAGGUGACAAAAAAAAUCUGUAUACAAAACCCCCGUGACAUGAAAUUUACCAUGUAGCAAACCUGCACAUGUACCCCCGAACCUAAAAGUUGGGGAAAAAAAUAGAAAAAUUUGAAAAUCGUGAUAAUGAUGGGUAAAUCAGGAACAAUCCUCCUUAAAAACACUCAUGAGAGAGAAACAUUUAUGGUAAAACUGAUUAAGAAAACAAGAAACCUAAAUUAUUUUAGAGGGAUAACAAUGGGAAAGAGUUUCCAUACUGGAUAUCUAAAUUUUUUCAAUAUUAUUUAUUUAAAGUAGGAUGAUUUUGGUGUAAGAACAGAAGAGAGACUGUAAAUAAGUCCACACAUAUCAAGUAUCUUGAUUUAUGACAAAAAACAAAAUCUCUGCAAAUCAACAAGGAAAGAAUGUUCUUUACAAAAGAAUGGUGUGUGGUGCUCAGUCAAUUAAAUAUCCAUUAAAAAAUCCUGUGUCCAUUACCUCAAAUCAUACCUAAAAAUUAAUUUGAGAUGAAUUUUGAACUAAAUGUAAAGGUAAAACGAUUAGGAGCUAGAAGAAAGCCUAGUGCAACAAAACACACUCAUGACCUUGAGAUAGCAACAUUUAAAACAAAAAACAAACAACAGCAACAAAAAAACACGGGUAGUAUCAACCAUAAAGGGAAAACAGGCUGGGCGCGGUGGCUCACACCUGUGAUCCCAGCACUUUGGGAGGCCGAGGCGGGCGGAUCACGAGGUCAGGAGAUCAAGACCAUCCUGGCUAACGUGGUGAAACCCCGUCCCUACUAAAAAUACAAAAAUUAACUGGGCGUGGUGGUGGGUGCCUGUAGUCCCAGCUACUCGGGAGUCUGACGCAGGAGAAUGGCGUGAACCCAGGAGGCAGAGCUUGCAGUGAGCCCAGAUUGCGCCACUGCACUCCAGCCUGGGUGACAGAGUGAGACUCUGUCUCCAAAAAAAAAAAAGGAAAAGAAAAAAAGGAAAACAAAAAUUAAUUUCUGCUUAUCAAAUGAUAAUAAUAAGAAAGUGAGAAGGAAAGUCACCGACUUGCAGUAAAUGCACUUGAAUAAAAUAUAUUUAUAAAAUUAUCCAAUAUGCAAGUGAAAAUAUGUGCAACCUCAUUAGGCCUCAGGAAAUGCAAAGUAAAACCAGAAGGGGAUCGUCAUAUCAGAACAACUAUAAUUAAAAGACUAGUAAUUUCCAGUGUAUGCCAAGAAUGUAGACAUCUAGAAGUGUCAUAUUUCUGGAAGGAUUUUAAAUAGGUUCAGCCACUUAAAAAGUUAGCAGUAGCUAAAAAGUCAAACCUUCAUAUAACUUAUGAUCUUUAUAAUGCAUCAAUUAUGCUCUUGAGAUACUCAAGAUUAAUGAGUUAAUGUGUCCAUUAAAAGAUUCUACCAGCCUUAUUCAUAAUAAUUAAAAACUGAAAAUCAACCAAGUAUUCAUCAAAAUUAAUUAGAAGAAAUGAGAUACAAUAUUAUAUAACACUUACAAAGAAUUUUGUUUUUCUUGAGACAGAAUCUCGCUUUGUUGCUCAGAUUGGAGUGCAGUGGUGUGAUCUCAGCUCACUGCAACGUCUGCCUCUCAAGUUCAAACGAUUCUCCUGCCUCAGCCUCCUGAGUGGCUGGGAUUACAGGU
rnacentral:lncRNA from 1 species